rnacentral:rRNA from 1 species
GUAGUCCACGCUGUAAACUAUGUGUGCUAGCUGUUGGGACUCUCAGAGUUUCGGCGGCGGAGGGAAACCAUUAAGCACACCGCCUGGGGAGUACGGCCGCAAGGUUAAAACUCAAAGGAAUUGACGGGGACCCGCACAAGCGGUGGAGCAUGUUCUUUAAUUCGACGCAACGCGAAGAACCUUACCCACACUUGACAUCCUUCUUUGGAGGGGCAGAGAUGCCCUUUUUCGGUUCGGCCGGGGAAGUGACAGGUGCUGCAUGGCUGUCGUCAGCUCGUGUCGUGAGAUGUUGGGUUAAGUCCCGCAACGAGCGCAACCCUUAUCGUCUGUUGCCAUCAUUAAGUUGGGCACUCUGACGAGACCGCCGGUGACAAGCCGGA